AGGUGCUUGCACCUUUUGGUUAGCGGCGGACGGGUGAGUAACACGUGGGCAACCUGCCUGUAAGACUGGGAUAACUUCGGGAAACCGGAGCUAAUACCGGAUAAUCCUUUUCCUCUCAUGAGGAAAAGCUGAAAGUCGGUUUCGGCUGACACUUACAGAUGGGCCCGCGGCGCAUUAGCUAGUUGGUGAGGUAACGGCUCACCAAGGCGACGAUGCGUAGCCGACCUGAGAGGGUGAUCGGCCACACUGGGACUGAGACACGGCCCAGACUCCUACGGGAGGCAGCAGUAGGGAAUCUUCCGCAAUGGACGAAAGUCUGACGGAGCAACGCCGCGUGAGCGAUGAAGGCCUUCGGGUCGUAAAGCUCUGUUGUUAGGGAAGAACAAGUACCGGAGUAACUGCCGGUACCUUGACGGUACCUAACCAGAAAGCCACGGCUAACUACGUGCCAGCAGCCGCGGUAAUACGUAGGUGGCAAGCGUUGUCCGGAAUUAUUGGGCGUAAAGCGCGCGCAGGCGGUCCUUUAAGUCUGAUGUGAAAGCCCACGGCUCAACCGUGGAGGGUCAUUGGAAACUGGGGG
rnacentral:rRNA from 2 species